GAUGAACGCUGGCGGCGUGCCUAAUACAUGCAAGUCGAGCGAAGCGGGGACGGGUGAGUAACACGUGGAUAACCUCCUAUAAGACUGGGAUAACUUCGGGAAACCGGAGCUAAACCGGAUACUUACAGAUGGAUCCGCGCUGCAUUAUCUAGUUGGUAAGGUAACGGCUUACCAAGGCAACGAUGCAUAGCCGACCUGAGAGGGUGGUCGGCAACACUGGAACUGGGAAACGGUCCAGCUUCCUACUGGGGGAAGAGGUAGGGAAUCUUCCGCAAUGGGCGAAAGCCUGACGGGGCAACGCCGCGUGAGUGAUGAAGGUCUUCGGUUCGUAAAACUCUGUUAUUAGGGAAGCGGUACCUAAGCAGAAAGCCACGGCUAACUACGUGCCAGCAGCCGCGGUAAUU
rnacentral:rRNA from 1 species